rnacentral:rRNA from 1 species
AGUUUGAUCAUGAUUCAGAUUGAACGCUGGCGGCAGGCCUAACACAUGCAAGUCGAGCGGAAACGAGUUAUCUGAAUCUUCGGGGAACGAUAACGGCGUCGAGCGGCGGACGGGUGAGUAAUGCCUAGGAAAUUGCCCUGAUGUGGGGGAUAACCAUUGGAAACGAUGGCUAAUACCGCAUGAUGCCUACGGGCCAAAGAGGGGGACCUUCGGGCCUCUCGCGUCAGGAUAUGCCUAGGUGGGAUUAGCUAGUUGGUGAGGUAAGGGCUCACCAAGGCGACGAUCCCUAGCUGGUCUGAGAGGAUGAUCAGCCACACUGGAACUGAGACACGGUCCAGACUCCUACGGGAGGCAGCAGUGGGGAAUAUUGCACAAUGGGCGCAAGCCUGAUGCAGCCAUGCCGCGUGUAUGAAGAAGGCCUUCGGGUUGUAAAGCACUAUCAGUCGUGAGGAAGGCAGKGUAGUUAAUAGCGGCAUURUUUGACGUUAGCGACAGAAGAAGCACCGGCUAACUCCGUGCCAGCAGCCGCGGUAAUACGGAGGGUGCGAGCGUUAAUCGGAAUUACUGGGCGUAAAGCGCAUGCAGGUGGUUUGUUAAGUCAGAUGUGAAAGCCCGGGGCUCAACCUCGGAAUAGCAUUUGAAACUGGCAGACUAGAGUACUGUAGAGGGGGGUAGAAUUUCAGGUGUAGCGGUGAAAUGCGUAGAGAUCUGAAGGAAUACCGGUGGCGAAGGCGGCCCCCUGGACAG